rnacentral:rRNA from 1 species
UACGGAGGGGGCUAGCGUUGUUCGGAAUUACUGGGCGUAAAGCGCACGUAGGCGGCUUUGUAAGUUAGAGGUGAAAGCCCGGGGCUCAACUCCGGAAUUGCCUUUAAGACUGCAUCGCUAGAAUUGUGGAGAGGUAAGUGGAAUUCCGAGUGUAGAGGUGAAAUUCGUAGAUAUUCGGAAGAACACCAGUGGCGAAGGCGACUUACUGGACACGUAUUGACGCUGUGGUGCGAAAGCGUGGGGAGCAAACAGG